AGAGUUUGAUCCUGGCUCAGGACGAACGCUGGCGGCGUGCCUCAUACAUGCAAGUCGAACGGAAAUGGUUCCUUCGGGGAUCAUUUGAGUGGCGAACGGGUGAGUAACGCGUGGGAAACCUGCCUGGAUGUUCGGGAUACCAGUUGGAAACGGCUGUUAAUACCGGAUGAGACCACGAAACCGCAUGGUUUUGUGGGAAAAGAUGGCCUCUGCUUGCAAGCUAUCACUUCCAGAUGGUCCCGCGUCCCAUUAGCUUGUUGGCGGGGUAACGGCCCACCAAGGCUUUGAUGGGUAGCCGGCCUGAGAGGGCGAUCGGCCACACUGGAACUGAGACACGGUCCAGACUCCUACGGGAGGCAGCAGUAGGGAAUUUUCCGCAAUGGGCGAAAGCCUGACGGAGCGACGCCGCGUGAGCGAUGAAGGCCUUCGGGUUGUAAAGCUCUGUUGUAUUGAACGAAACACCAAGGGGCUAAUAUCCCUUUGGCUUGACGGUACUGUACGAGUAAGCUCCGGCUAACUCCGUGCCAGCAGCCGCGGUAAGACGGAGGGAGCAAGCGUUGUCCGGAAUCAUUGGGCGUAAAGGGCGCGCAGGUGGUUUGGUAAGUCCUGUGUGAAAUCGGCGGGCUCAACUCGUCAAUUGCGCAGGAUACUGCCAUUCUUGAGUUCGGGAGAGGUGAGUGGAAUUCCUGGUGUAGCGGUGAAAUGCGUAGAUAUCAGGAGGAACACCCGUGGCGAAGGCGACUCACUGGCCCGAUACUGACACUCAGGCGCGAAAGUCAGGGGAGCGAACGGGAUUAGAUACCCCGGUAGUCCUGACCGUAAACGAUGGGCACUAGGUGUGGGAGGUAUCGACCCCUUCCUUGCCGAAGCUAACGCAUUAAGUGCCUCGCCUGGAGAGUACGAUCGCAAGGUUGAAACUCAAAGGAAUUGACGGGGGCCCGCACAAGCGGUGGAGCAUGUGGUUCAAUUCGAUGCAACGCGAAGAACCUUACCAGGGUUUGACAUUAUCCUGACUGGUUGUGAAAGCAAUCUUCCCGUUUGGGCAGGAUAACAGGUGCUGCAUGGCUGUCGUCAGCUCGUGUCGUGAGAUGUUGGGUUAAGUCCCGCAACGAGCGCAACCCUUACCUCCAGUUACCAGCGGUUCGGCCGGGGACUCUGGAGGGACUGCCGGCGCUAAGCCGGAGGAAGGUGGGGAUGACGUCAAGUCCUCAUGGCCUUUAUAUCCUGGGCUACACACGUGCUACAAUGGCCGGUACAAAGGGCUGCGAAACCGCGAGGUGGAGCCAAUCCCAGAAAACCGGUCUCAGUUCGGAUUGCAGUCUGCAACUCGACUGCAUGAAGUCGGAAUCGCUAGUAACCGUAGAUCAGCAGGCUACGGUGAAUACGUUCCCGGGCCUUGUACACACCGCCCGUCACACCACCCGAGUCGAGGGUACCCGAAGUCGUCGGCCCAACCAGCUUGCUGGAAGGAGACGCCCAAGGUAUGCUUGGUAAGGAGGGUGAAGUCGUAACAAGGUA
rnacentral:rRNA from 1 species